AUUUAAAAGAAAACAAUAGUGAUCGAAUAAAAAGAUAAUAAUUGAGCCCCCAACCGCUCAUGCCUAUAAGCACGGUUCUCACACUCAUUUACUCAAUUUUGAGUUAUGAAAAUUGAAACCAAAAGCUUAUCUCUUUCUCUUCCUUGUUUACCGAUUCUUCCUCCCAAAAUCACUAAUUCGUUUCUCUGGAGCCAUCCAUCCUUCACCAAUAGCAGAUUCUCUGGCCCAGAUUCAUUAGAGUAUUUGAAUCUAGGGUUGCGGUAAAUGUUAUUUGUCUAUCAUUUGACUCAGUUUUUGAAUUUGUAUUUGGGGAUCUUAGGAGUAGAAUCGAUAAACUGAUUUUAGGAUUCAAUUGGGUUUAGGAUUUUUCUUUUUUGAUCUGAUCUGAUCUUUUGAUUUUAGGGUUAAAAGUUCCUCUUUCUACUCAAUCUCAUUAUACACCCUUUCUCUUUACAUUUUAGUAAGGGGAUGUUUACUUUGGAGACAAAGGUGGGCUGAUCUACGUGCGUUUGCCAACUCUGGUAGAGCUCUAUGUUGGUCAGAUUGCAAAUGGAACCUACUUUUGAAUUGUUCCAUGGGCAAAGAGGGGUUCUUGUGCUGGCCACACCUACCUAUGAGUUUGGCAGGAGUUUAGCUUGCAUGGAAGGUAUUUUCUUGUUAAGUUAAUAUGCUUGUAUUAUGUGAUCGUUUAAUUGGAAAUAUGAAUGCUCAUUGGAGUCUGUAAUAGAGUGAAAUGUAAAUGUGUUUUGGUGGAUUCAUAUACAAAAGGUAAGGAAAGAUCUAUGCACUUAGUGAUUUGUGAAUAGUGUGUGUCUACUAUGUUUCUAAACUUUCUCUGAUUUUUCUUAUUUGGAACUGUGAUUGAUUUUGAAUUUGGGAUCUCAGUUGACAGCUAGCAUAUCUCAUCUGCUUUGGUUUCAUUCUAAUUGUUUUAUUCUGGUUUUGGAACCUUCGAUGACUCUUUCUGUCUUCUCUACGUAUUAUUUUCUCACCAAUUCCACCUUUAAGUAGAAGCUUUAAUUUAUUAGCAACUUGACUUACAUCUAUGUUUUAGUUUCUGCAUUUUGUAGACUUGUUGGACACUAUUCUGUAUAAAUUUCUUGUUUGCAUGUAUUGGCUGUAUAGGAUUUGAAAGCACAUGUUAGUGCAAUUCAUUUGAUAAUUGAGGCUCUCCAGAUGAUGCAUUUAUUUGGUGUUGAGAACAGAGAUACUUUAACUCACAAUGCCACAGGGGUAAGUUUAUUUUCAUUACUUUAUAAGCUUUUCUGUUCUUUCUAUUACCCUACUUACUGCCUUGUAUUUGAGGAUUAUGCGCAUAAAACUACUGGAAACAAUGAUAAAAAAUGAAACUAGUGAAUAGAAGCCUGACAACAACUUCAACACUAUGUUGAAGUGUGAAAUGGCAAAAGUGUGGGAACAGAGAUAUUUUAACUCAAUGCCACGGGUAAUCCUAUUUUCAUUGCUUGAUGAGCUUUCUAUUCUUUCAUUACUUAAUCAGUUGGCACAUUUACUCAUUAGACAGUGCCUGCAUUUCAUAUUUUUCAGGUUGAGGAUGCUCAAGGCCAUGAAGCACCAAUACAGGGGGUUGUUGAUUCAAUAGCUAGGCCGUCUUGUAUACAAUAUAACGACUAGGCUACAAUAUUUGCUUUUUGAAACAAAGGGAGAUGGAACCAGAUUGCAUAGAAAAGUUGCCGAAGGUAGCAGAUGCAACAUGGAGAGGAACAUGAAGAUAUUUAAGUUUUGUGAUGUUGUAUUUAUUUAAAAUUGUAUAUGAAUUGUACAAUACAUUUUAGAAAUACGCGGUUGUAGCUAGACCAAAUUGUUAUUUUUUUUUUAAAUAUACUCCCAAUGUUGCCACUGAUGUUGGUGGCAUUGAGAAUACACACUGAUUGAUUCAGUAACAGUGGGAAAGAAAAAGGUAUCUUGCUGCAUUGGGUUUUGGGAUGCCACUGAUGCUUUAUCAGUGUGAAUUGCCCCAAUAGCACCUGCUAUAGAGGGGACUGAUUCCUCAUUAGUGGCUGCAUAGUGGCUAAUGGCAUUAGCCACUGUUAUCAGUGUGCUUUGUCCCAAUAGGGACUAAUUCAAAUAAGUGUGUAGUGGGGAAAUUUCUAGUAGUG